rnacentral:rRNA from 1 species
UGCGUAGGCGGUCGUUUAAGUAGGGUGUGAAAUCCCCGGCUCAACCGGGGAACUGCGCUCUAAACUGGACGGCUUGAGUAAGAUAGGGGUGUGCGGAACUUCCGGUGGAGCGGUGAAAUGUGUUGAUAUCGGAAGGAACACCAGUAGCGAAAGCGGCACACUGGGUCUUAACUGACGCUGAGGCACGAAAGCUAGGGUAGCGAACG